ACGCAGACGGUGGUCGGUGGAUCGGUCACGCCACCCCCAGAUCAGCACCGGUUUGAAGCUGUCACGCAGACUUCUACAGUAUUUUUCGACAUGAAUCUCAUAAAUCCAUCCCUGGAAACUUCGAUUUUUUCUACCACUGUCGAAGUUGAAUCAAUGAAUUUAUGACGUUGUGUCAGUGGAGGAGGGCUCUAAGCCUCAAGAUUGUCUCUCAAGGAGACAUUGGACCUGAAAACAGUGAUACAACUGAAGUUGUGUCGUCACGGUUAAGCGGCCUAAGGAAAGGACUUGCACUGCCAUAUCCACCAUUGAUGCUUCGGUUUGAUAUUCGACGGUUGCUGGUAGCUGGCCUUGCCAUAUAAAAGUUAUCUGGCUCUGCCACCGGUUUUGGAAUGAUCAUCUUCUUCAUUUCCUGCAUUUUAUUGUCAAGACAGUUUCAACUUAUUGUAUUCUUGUAACAUUGCCACAAGAGGUACCUGGAGAACUAACAGUUGAUCUAGUCUCUGGACUUCAGCCUCAGCCUUGGGAAAGAUUUGCACAAAAGAAAAGGCGGUCAACAUAAUCUAUAAUUGGUUCGAUAAAGCUCUUCCAAGAUGGUGAAGCUGCCAUUUGUAAGAGGCCUUAGAAGUUCGGAACUGCUUCACUCUCUCAUCUUUCCGCAGCCUCAUCUCACGCAGUGCAGGCGCAAUAGAAUCCAGCUGCUCUCUCAAUGUUCCUCCCUUUUUUUCCGGCUGUGUAGAGAUGGCAACAAAAUUAUCAAUGAUACGUUAUCUGGAAAAUCUAAACUAGUCUUUGCUAUGGUAACUGAAUAAUCUUUUGCUUCACUUUGGAUAUUAAAGAUUGAAAAUUACCCUUCCAGGUACUGAUCUUUUACCGAGGCACAAAAGAAAGUGGGUGAGUUCGGCUUCAGAUUCCGCCAGCUCUUGAUGUAGACGAGACCUCGAAACAUUGGCCUGGUCAACUUUUCUCCGGUUUUGCUUUGAAGACAAGUGUGAAAGUGACACAAAUUCUGCUACAGAAGCUUCCAGUUUAAGUGAAGGCUCAUCCGCAUCUCCCUCCUCCUCUCAUUGAUUCAUCAGUUUUAGGUCUCUUUCUCUUUCUCUCUCUGAACCUCAUCUCAAAUUUGGUAAAGUUAAGGAGUCGCUUUUGUGCUGAUGUGUUUGCUUCUGCUGUAUGAAAAAGCCAGAGAGAGAUGUUUUUUUUGUUUAUACCAUAUGUACGAAACUUGAUUCCUAAGCAAACCUCUAGUGCAAACUUUUUACUUAUCUGAGAUCGACUGAGAGAUUCUUCAUCAUGUGGGUUUUUACGAAAUAAGCUUCUUGUU